AGAAGAGUCCAUGCCACCCUGAAUACCCCUGAUUUCAUCUGAUCUCAGAAGCUAAGUAGGUUUGGGUUUGGAUGGGAGACCUCCUGGGAAUACUGGUUACUGAUG
rnacentral:rRNA from 1 species